GGGUGUUGGUGCGGAGUCGGAAAUGCUGUGUGUCUCUGAGGCCCUAGAUUCCCUGGGCUGAGCCCUGCCGCUGGUCCCCCGACAUCCUUGGGCUGUGGAGCGACGUGGCUGCCUAGAAGAGAAAUAUCAAAAGUCUCAUGCAUUCUUGGAGGCAAGUAAGUUUGAGAGGAAACAAACAACUGAUCACAUCCCAAUCAAUGACUUAAGAUUAUUUCUUUAGAGUCCAAGCAUCAAAGAUGAAUCUAUAUUGAGAAAUUGUCAAGAACUGGAGGAAUAAAUCAAGGAAAGGGAUUCAGAUAAGAAGUAAAACAUUCUCUGUAACUACUUGAAAACGGAAUGCAUGAAAACCAUACAUCAGUGGUUCUCCAGAAAAGGCAGUCUUGGUGUGAACAUAUUUUAUAUACAGAGUUAUGAAAAAUUGUGCUGUGAAUGGAUAAUUUUGAAUGUAAU